ensembl:misc_RNA Metazoa_SRP Metazoan signal recognition particle RNA
ACCAGGUGCAGUGCCGCGUGCCUGUAGUCCCAGCUACCCAGGAGGCUGAGGCUGGAGGAUCUCUUGAGUCCAGGAGUUCUGGGCUGUAGUGGGCUAUGCCGAUCAGGUGUCCGUACUAAGUUCGGCAUCAAUAUGGUGACCUCCUGGGAGCGGGGGACCACCAGGUUGCCUAAGGAGGGGUGAACUGGCCCAGGUUGGAAAUGAAGCAGGUCAAAACUCCCGUGCUGAUCAGUAGUGGGAUUGCGCCUGUGAAUAGCCACUGCACUCCAGCCUGGGCAACAUAGUAAGACCCUGUCUCU